AAAAGAGGAGAGACAUCAGACCAAAUUAGACAAUAAAGUUAAAGGCCCAUUCCUUGUGGCGGAAGUGCUGGAUGGGGACCGUUAGGUCUUGAAAUCUUUAGUUAAUAAGCGAACAUAUAAGUAUUCGCAUGAAGCCUUGAGAAGUAUGCCGACAGAAGAGAUUCCCGGAGAGUUGGAUAUUUGUAAUGAGAACGCAUUGGAUGAUUCCAAUUAGAGUGAAAACGUUGAAAGAGACGUUACAGACAUAUUCGUGGAUUCGAACUAGAGAAGGUGUGGAAAGAGACGCCAAAUCGUUGAAAGAGGCGAUAAAUCGUUAAAAGAGACGAUAAAACGUUAAAAGAGACGUUAGAGAAAGUGUUGAAAGAGACGCUAUUGACGAUUGUGGUUCAGACACUAUACCUUUGGCAGUCCACAUUAUGGAGUUGGCAGUGCUAACAGGCACACGAGUUAAUGUGUUGGCUUGAUAGAUGUGUGGCAAAAGGCCGUUUUGUUUGGUGUCCUGAAGUACAGUGUCUGGUGUCAGAGUACAUUGCAACAUUGUAAUUUUUGGGAUCUCACUGUCCGACUGUUGAAAAUUGUAUUACAAAUUCAAGUAUAAAAAAAAAAAACAUGAUCCACAGCACUUCCGUCAGGAGUACUACAUAAUCUGCUAACUAAGAAAUGAUGGCCGUGUCAACGCUUUAUAUUAUAUGUCACUGCUUUAUAUUAUAUUUGUCAUGCUGAAGCAUUAUACCAUGUUAAUGUUAAUUUAAAUAAAUGAUAAAAUGUAAAGCAA